UACGGGGGGGGCAAGCGUGGUGCGGAAUUACUGGGCGUAAAGGGUUCGUAGGCGGCUUUCUAAGUUGGAUGUGAAAACUCUGGGCUCAACCCAGAGCCUGCAUCCAAAACUGGAGAGCUAGGGUUCUGGAGGGGAAAGCGGAAUUCCUGGUGUAGCGGUGAAAUGCGUAGAUAUCAGGAGGAACACCGAUGGCGAAGGCAGGUCUCUGGGCCGAUACUGACGCUGAGGAGCGAAAGCGUGGGGAGCGAACAGG
rnacentral:rRNA from 1 species